rnacentral:lncRNA from 1 species
GAUGAGGUUCAAUUGUUUUGAAAUUAUAAAUAUCUCAUGACUAUCAUACCCUAACGGACAGUUUGAUGUGAAAUUUCCAUCUAUCCAUUGUUAGUUAACAUGCGUGCCUCCAGGUACGUUCUUGAACAUAUUGUUCCCUAUGGACUUAAAACUGCUCAGGUAAUGUGGGAAACAUAUUGACUUUUUUAAUCUCAACAACAACAACAACAACAAGUAACAUGGGUUGACGUUGAAAAUAAGGCAAGCCGUCCAAUUAGUGGUGGUGGGGGUUUUAACGGUGAAUUAAAUAACAUCCAUUGUUCGUUUACGCAAGAGUUUUUGAGAAAAUCCUUGCGUUCUGCGGUAAAAUGAAGGCAUUUUGUCAGAUUUAGCACUAAAAGUUUGUCGAGACAAAUUCUCGUCUCUAUCCAAAACACAUUUUUUCUACACCUCUGCGUGACCUUUGAGAGUAUACAUCCGCCCUGAGAAAUUUUAAAUUUCGCCCUCGAUUACGGUGAAUCAAAUCAGACAAAAUUAAAUGUGCUUUCAUACGUAUAUUUUAUCCAAUUUAUUCAUGCCUCGAGAUUGUAAUUACCUUCCAAAAUUAUUGACAUUCUUCCAUAAAUUCCAUGGAUAUUAUCUGUGAAAGUUCGAAUGAUUUUCAUUUCCUUGUUACAAAAUAUGCUCCCUGAAAGACUGGAAGCAAUCGAUCAGCGUUUUUUUGAUGGGAAAUGCCUUUUUUAUGUUUAAAGUGAUGGUCUCGUAAUACGAUUAAAUUUUCUAGGUCGAUGCGGAGACGAAGAAAAUCAUGACAUUUGAUGAAAUUCAGAGAAAAAGUAAAUCUCUAACAGAAUGGCUCCGCUUACAUGGGUAUGGGAGAGGUUGCACGGUCGGUCUACUGAGUAGAAACAGUUUAGAUUUUGCGUGGAUACUACUUGGAAUUUGGGAGAGUGGAGCUGUAUGUCAUCUCAUUGACUUCAGAUAUACUUUACGUGAGGUCAUCCAUGCCCUUGAAACAGCCCCUGUUGAUGUGCUUAUACUUCAGAGAGGAGUAUUUCAGACCCUAGCCUGCUCUGAGACUGAGCAAAUCAAGCAUAUUUUUGAAUUCGGCGAAGAAAAUGUUCCAUACAGUGAAGCUGCCACACCGCUUGAUACUAUCUUUAAAUUCGAAAUUAGUGUGGAUUGCAUGACCGAACCGAGCAAAGGCACUAAAAGUCCGGAAAUUGAGAAUGAACCAGACCCACUGGUUCUGAUUCUGAGCUCAAGUGGAACAACAGGACUUCCUAAAGGUGUUAUGCAUACGGAGGAUAGUAUUUUGCAGGCUUAGAACUCGGGUAAAUACCAUAAGAACAUAUUUUGCUACUUUGAAGAUAUAAAUAUGGUAAUUGAUAAGUUGGAGAAAAUUCAUCAUUAAUUGUCGCCCUCAAGUCAGGAGCAGUUCUCUUUAAUGACUUUAUUUUGUUAAGGCGUCUUCAAGUAAAUGUGUUUAACAAAGGACCGUAUCUUACCAAUCAAUGAUUCUAUUCUUUUUGAUGAUCUAUUUCAAUGAUCACUGAGACUGUUCAUGCUCCAAAGAUUAUAACGCGAGCUUUGGAAGCGCAAAAACCACUCGCCGAUAUAUAGAAUGGUCAAAAAAUAAAGAUUGAAAUUAAUAAUACAAAAUUAAUAAUGAAUGACACCGAAGUACAGAUAGAAGUAAUAUUUAAACGCCUUAUUGUACUUAUACAGUUCUAGCAAUAUUCUGGUCCAGAAUGAUGAUAAAACUAUCGGGUUAUUGCAUUUCAUCAUGUGUAUGGUCUCUCAGUCAUGCUCAAUUGCUUGUGUGCAGGCGCUUAAUGGUUGUGAUGCCUAAGUUCUCGCUGCCUUUUUGGAUUGUGACGAUUAAAACUUUUUCGGUGAGGAAUUUUGACCAAUGAUCACUUCAAGUUUUUAACUUAAGAGAUAAAAGAGAUACGAGGAGUAUUCGUAAAGUAAGUUAAUGUGUGUCUUAUCUUCUAAAUUAAUAAAGAUACUUUAAAUCUGUAAAAAGUUUGUGAAUUGCCAUACUCUCAGCUUUCUAAAAAGCUUCAGAUUUUAAAUUUGGUCUUCUGAGUGCCGAGUGACAUCAGUUUUCCCACAUCCGUCUCUCACCACCGCGUGUCAAAAAUUGACGCGCGCUGGAGAGGUCACAGGACGGUAGCAUGCGGCUUCAUCCUGCAAAUUGUCAAAAUGGAAUUUUUGUUUAAAAUUUAAAAUUUCCAUGUUUGUGAAGACUUGACU